GCACUGGGCUGCUGAAGGAGAGCAUCCACGUGUCAUCCAAACCAUCUUGUGCACUGCAAAUGGCCAAGGGAUGAUGUGAGGAACUGACACUGGAAAGUUGCCUCCAUUCUUCUAUCAAGCAUAUCAUAGGGCUGGACUCUAGUUCCACAGCCAGGGCUAGAACAAAGGUGGAGGAAGAGGCUCUGGCAGCAGGUGAAGGGCAAGGUGAAAGCGUGUGCUCAGUGCUCCUGGAAGAGCUGCUCUCCCUGCCCAUCAGCUGGAACAUCCGGAGGCACUCCCAGAUAAAUUGGAGGACUGCAGGUGGCUGUUGAGAGUAGCUGCCUAAGAAUCACCAGGGUUUUUCUGGAUGUAUUUGCCCCAGCAAAUGCAAAAAGUCAAAUUUGGGCCAGUAUCUUGGCUGCUGAUAAGGGCCUGUACUGAGCAACACAAUCUUUAAUGCACUACUGAACGUUGCAAAAGGAAGUUACCUUCCCCCACCCCCAUUUUGCAGAGAAAACGGGAACUGGAAGCCUGAGCAUAGUUAAUUAACGACUGCAUCGGACUGUCUUUGUGAUUCACACACCCAACUUAGAGGAAAGCUGGGAGCACAGAUUGUUAGAGAAAAAAUACUCACUCUCUCUCUCUCUGAAAUUCAAGAUUAUCAGCAGCAAGUGUUGAGCUGCUACAGACAGCUAACUGCACCUCACAGGGAAUGCAGUGCUGUGGACAGCAGGGCCUGCUAUGGCUUGAACCAUCGCUGAAGCUUCCAACAGAAUUUAGCUUUGACAUUUUGCUAAAAGCUGGACUUGUCUCUUAUGGAGCCUGUUCUUGCCAGCCCCAGUGGCAAUGGUUUCUGUCCCUUCUGAUAACUGCAUGGCAGAGUUCAUUGCCUGGGCAGGAGCAUCUUUCCGAGGUGUACAUUGAUGGGUUGGGUCCAGGAUCCUAAUUUGUAUCCUAAUCCUAAAUUGUAAGGGCUCACGUUCCUCUUGAAGCCCCAAUUCCCACCUCAGCGCACAGCAACUCACAGUCCCCAAAACCACAGGAUUGGCUCCUUUGGUAUAUCUUAGAAGAAAUUGCUAUUCUCUCUUCCCUAUAUGAGGUUAUGGGUCUGUUCUGUCAGCAGUUCCUUCAGGGACACAAUUAACCCCAAAUUACCAUAUUUUGGGGGCAAGAGUUUGCAGAAUUGUGCCAUCCUGAAUCAGGAACCCAACGUGCAAUGUAAGUUCCAGCCUGAAGCUGACUCAUUUUCCUCGAAGUCUUUCUAAAUUCAGGUUUCCCAUUUUCAAAUUUACAAUGUAAACUGUAGCAAUGAAGCCCUUUCUCCCACGGCACUCAGAAGAAAUACUUAAUUUUUAACUUAAAGUUGAUGCGUGGCUUUAUGUAAAUUGAUGAAUAUAUAAAGUUUUAGCCUGAAAGAGGCUUGUUUCCUUCCUCCUGUUUAAUUUAUUUUAAACCUUAAUAUUGGUUUGUGUUUUUUUUCUUUUUCCUGGCAAACUUAAUCUAUGAAGAACAGUGUAUCUAUUGGAAGACUGUAUUUUUGAAGAAAAAAAGCACAAAACAUAACCUGUCUGUGACAUUUUUAAGAGCCCAAGUAAAAUAAGAAGUUUUGUGGACUUCUGACUCUUAAAAUAUAAAAUACUUCAGAAUUCCAGUUCUUUACACUGAGAUCAAGCCAGGCUUGUAAAAUUCAUUGUACUUGGGGCAAAUAAUUUGAAUGUGGCUUUUUGAAUGGGGAAAAAUGCACAGAACACUUUCCAUUCCUGCAGUAAGAAUGGGCAGAUGGGCAUUAAGCCAUUGCCUGAAAAUUACAGAGAACACUUUGUCAAAGAAGUAGAUGGGAAAUCCAUGGAGAUCUUUAUUAUCUAGACAAAAUGCUAAUAAUGUAAUUGCAGCAUUUGUCCUUCAGAAAGCUCCUUUGCUCCUAGUGAUGUUGGGAAUGCCAAAGGUUUUAGCAAACUGCCUUAAGCUUCCAUUUAUAGACUUACACAGUACAAUCUAACACAUCCUAUGUCCCUCUGUAGAUGCAUUUAGUUUGUGGACUUGUAAAUAAUCUGUUUUCCUGCUUAAUGCAUUGAAUCAGCCAGGUAAAUAUUAGAUAUUUAUAAAUACCAAAUUCCGUAUGCUGAAAAUUGUUACACUAAUUAGCAUGUGCUUAGAAAGGAUGGAGAGGUGAUAGAAAUUAUAGGUUGGAAGCAAAAAUCCUCAACAGGAGAGACUGAGUUCUCACCUAGAAAAAUCAGCAUCAAAACUGACGCAAUUAAUCGUUUAAAUCAGCAGAGAUGUACUUUUAUCUGAAUCUGAAAGUCUGCACAAGAGCGACUAAAAGGAAAAAUACAGUAUAUCCUCAAUGCUUAAGUACUGAAGUCUGCAUCUGGAAACUGCUCCUGCUGCGCAGAACUUGCUGGGAUGCAGGUAUCUGAAACCAUGAUACGUCUUCUGUAUUUUAUUCUGCUAUUAUCAUUUUCACACGUGCGUGUGAGAGUGCAAAAUAAGUGUACAGUGUGUCACUUUUUUAACGUUUGACCUGUUUGAUAUAAGCAAAGCAUUAUCACAAAGGAGUGCUCAACACAACUGACUUAGCGGGGAACUACGUUCCAUAUUUGCAAACAGAAGCAAAGGAUGAGACAAAGGGUGUGAAACGUAUCAGAGAAACAAGCCAGACAAUGACAUUUCAA